UGGGGAAUAUUGCACAAUGGGCGCAAGCCUGAUGCAGCCAUGCCGCGUGUAUGAAGAAGGCCUUCGGGUUGUAAAGUACUUUCAGCGGGGAGGAAGGUGUUGAGGUUAAUAACCUCAGCAAUUGACGUUACCCGCAGAAGAAGCACCGGCUAACUCCGUGCCAGCAGCCACGGUAAUACGGAGGGUGCAAGCGUUAAUCGGAAUUACUGGGCGUAAAGCGCACGCAGGCGGUCUGUCAAGUCGGAUGUGAAAUCCCCGGGCUCAACCUGGGAACUGCAUUCGAAACUGGCAGGCUAGAGUCUUGUAGAGGGGGGUAGAAUUCCAGGUGUAGCGGUGAAAUGCGUAGAGAUCUGGAGGAAUACCGGUGGCGAAGGCGGCCCCCUGGACAAAGACUGACGCUCAGGUGCGAAAGCGUGGGGAGCAAACA
rnacentral:rRNA from 1 species